UCUAAAAUCCCACUAUGUGAGACAGUCUAGGGUACUAUUUGCCCAAAGAGGGGAAGUAUAGCUCAUCGCAAUACGGCUGUACUUAUGAUUCUAAUUCUCAAGAGGAAAGUUAAAACCCUCAGCCGUGAGGUCACUGAGGAGGACAAACAGUGGUAGGGGAAUCGUCUGAAAGGGACUGACAUGCAAGGAUGGAACAUAAGGAUUUUGGGCACUUGCCAGCAGACCACGAUUUCCACUAGCCUGGGUGGCAAAGCUAAAAUGGAAGAAGAAAAGACAGAUUGGAUCCUGAAAAAGUGACCGCAAAAAUUGAUGCUGUCAUGAAGCGCUUCCCGGGUGCAACAAAGGGACAAGUGAAAACGGCUUAAAACAGUAAAAUGACUGAAUUGAGAAGCGAUGAGAGAAAAAGAAAAUGAAUAGGAUUAAAUAAAUGUUUUUGUG